rnacentral:tRNA from 1 species
GGCGGUGUAGUGACCUUACAUCACGGUGCCAUGAGAAGGCCCGAGGCGCGGGUUCGAAUCCUGUCUCAGCCA